AGGUGCAUAAUAUAGACUUUUUCUGAAUGGUUUAUAAGUUGCAGGUAUGAUGCCUCUUUAUUUCUAAAUAAUUUUAUGUGUGUCUCCUAAAAACAAGGCAUUAUCUUGCAUAAUUAUAGUAUAACUAUCAAAAUCAGGAAAUUAAAAAUGGUUUACUGUUACUAUCUCAUCCAUAAACCUUAUUUUACUUUUUUCAGUUGUCUCAAUAAUAUUUUUUAUAGCCAAAUAAUUUAAGAUGGGUGAUUUUACAAUCCAUGAUGUUGACUUUCAUAAUCCAUGAUGUUGAGAGGUUUCAGCAUUUUUACGUUGAUUCUUCCUCAUCUCUGUGGGCCUAUGUACCUUUGAUGUUUGAGGUUGCUGACCUUUGGAGGAGGUCGAUCUGUGUCAAAUUAUUCUGUCUUUUUAGUCUCUUUUAGUCCAGGAUGAUUCCUGAGUCUUUCCUUGAUUUUCAUGGCAUUUAUGUGUUUGAAGAGUAUGGGUCAGUUUUUUGUGGAUUUUCUCUCAGUUUGGGUUCAUAGGAUGUUUCUUCAUGAUUCAGUUCAGGUUAUACCAUUCUGGCAGGAAGGUCACACAAGUGAGGCUGAGUUCUUCCCAAUGCAGCAUAUCUGGAGGCAUAUGCUGUUACUUGGCUCCAUUACUGGCCAGUGUUGACUUUGGUUGAGAAUCUGCCAGGUCUGUCCAUGAUAAAGUGACUAUCUACCAUUUGUUUUUCACCAAUGUCUUAUGUGAACAUAGUUUGAGGCUCUGUAAAUAUCUGGUUACUCUAAACAUCUCACCCACUAGAUUUAGCAUUUUAUUGAUUAUUUUUGUUGGGUCAAUUAUUAUUAUGGUGGUUGCCAAAUCAUGAUUGUCUUCAUCUUUCAUUCCUUCUACGUGGAUAAGUAAAACAAAACAAAACCAACCAACAAAUAGGGGAGAAGGGAAAAUUUAUUGUUUUGCUGUUCAGGUUCCCUCCGCUUUGACCAGUGGUAGCCAUUUCAAGCUGAGUUCAUGUCUUUUUGAACUGUCCUUAUUGUUCUUUGAAUACUUCCUUACUUUCUGGCAUAAGCUGUUUCAACCAUACUUUGUAUUUUCUCUGCCCCAGCCCUUGAAUCAGCCAUUUUCAUUUUUUUCCAGAAGCCCUGACUUUCUUUAGGGGACAGUAAUUAGAAACCAAUAUCUGGGCAGUAAUUGUGGUAGAUACGUAUGGCUGUUGUAGUUGUCAUUGCUCAUAGGCUUCCUCAGUGAACAGAGCAGAAAAAUACAGCUAGAUGGAUAAAUAUACAAACAUACAUGCUUAUAUUCAUCGAUAUUUCUAUAUUAGAAUAUACUGAAAACCAUGAGUUCUUCCUGGUGAUUCUAAUUCCAGUUGAAUCACACAUGGCUCAUUUUAGGUUUUUUUUCCCUUUCAGUACUCUUGACCUUUGAACAAUGUGGAAGUUAGAGGGGCUGAACCCCACACAGCCGAAAAUUUGCCUAAAUUUUGACUUCCCUGUAAUGUAACUGCUGACUGACCUGAUUAACUACUGUUGACCAGAAACCUUACCCAUAACAAAGUUGAUUAAUAUAUAUGCUGUAUAUUCUAUGUAUUAUACACUAUAUUCUUAUAAAAGUAAGCUAGAAUUGCCUUAGCUAUUCCAGCUGUUUUGGGGUUUGAUAUAAAUUUUAAAAUAGUUUAUCCUAAUUCUGUGAAGAAUGUCAUUGGUAGUUUGGUAGCUGACUUCAAACUAUACUACAAACCUGCAGUAACAGAAAUAGCAUGGUACUGUUACAACAGCAGACACAUAUACCAAUGGAACAGAAUAGAGAGCUAAGAAAUAAUGCAGCACACCUACAACCAUCCAACCUUCAACAACUCCACUUAAAAAAAGCAAUGGGGAAAGCAAUGGGACUGCUGGGUCAAAUGGCAAUUCUAAGUUCUUUGAGAAAUCGCCAAACUGCUUUCCGCAAUGACUAAACAAGUUUAAAUUCCCACCAGAAGUGCAUAAACAUCCCCUUUUCUCCACAACCUUGCCAGCUUCUGUUAGUUUUUGACCUUUUAAUAAUAGUCAUUCUGACUGGUGUGAGAUGGUGUCUCACUGUGGUUUUGAUUUGCAUUUCUCUAAUGAUUAGUGAGUUUGAGCAUUUUUUUCAUAGCCUUGUUGGCCACAUGUUAUGUCUUCUUUUGAAAAGUAUCUGUUCAUGUCCUUUGCCCACUUUUGAUGGGGUUGUUUGUUUUUUUUUCUUGUAAAUUUAAGUUCCUUGCAGAUGCUGGAUAUUAGACGUUUGUCAGAUGGCUAGGUUGCAAAUAUUUUCUCCCUUUCUGUGAGCUGUUCACUCUGUUGAUAGUUUCUUUUGCCGUAAAGAAGCUCUUUAGUUUAAUUAGGUCCCAUUUGCCAAUUUUUGUUUUUCUUGCAAUUACUUUUGGCAUCUUUGUCAUGAAGAUCAUUUCCAGGUCCUAUGUCCGCAAUGGUAUUUCCUAGGUUAUCGUCCAAGGUUUUAAUAUGUUUUCAUUUUAGAUUUAAGUUUUUAAUCCUGCCUUUGCCUCCCAAAGUGCUGGGAUUACAAGCGUGAGCUACCACACCCAGCGAGGAAGCCAAGUUUAACGUGUGUGCUCCACUCCUCCAACCUGGCCAAAGGGCAGUCAUCAUCACUGGCCACUGCUGACCACAGCCUUUAGAAACUCCCCUUGAACGUGCUGGGCUGACCUUCCUCUGAUCACAGGCAAGGCAAAGGAAAACGACAGGCCCUUGCCUUCCCGGUCCUCAAGGGUCAGCUGUAAGAUGAUGUCAUAAAGCCAGAUCAGGUCCUGGGGCCGGGGGAAGCACUUGCUGUCAUCCUCUGGCUGCUGCUGCAGCAGAGCCCUCUGCAGACCUUUGGCCAUGCUCUCAUUACGCUUGAUUGCCAUUGACAGCUUGAUGUAAGUCAGGUAACUGGAAUGCACCACACGUCAGCUCAAGUUAUACUCAGAGAAGCAGAGGAACUGGGAGGACUGGACUACGAGUUGGGGCUGACCCAGAGAAAGUGGGGGGGUGCGUUGGGGCAAGGCCACAGCAGGGCCAUUUGGCCUGGGCUUCAAGGGACCCUGUAAUCCCAACUACUUGGCAGGCUGAGGCAGGAGAAUCACUUGAAUCCGGGAGGUGGAGGUUUCAGUGAGCCGAGAUAGUGCCACUUCACUGCAGCCUGGGCGACGAGUGAAACUCCGUCUCAAAGAAAACUAAAAUAGGCUGGGUGCAGUGACUCAAGCCUGUAAUCCCAGCACUUUGGGAGGCCGAGAUGGGUGGAUCACCUGAGGCUGGGAGUUCAAGACCAGCCUGACCAACAUGGAGAAACCCCAUCUCUACUAAAAAUACAAAAUUAGCUGGGCGUGGUGGCUCAUGCCUGUAAUCCCAGCUACUCAGGAGGCUGAGGCAGGAGAAUUGCUUGAACCUGAGAGGCGGAGGUUGUAGUGAGCUGGGAUUGCUCCAUUGCACUCCAGCCUGGGCAACAAGAGCGAACCUCCGUCUC
rnacentral:lncRNA from 1 species